CAGCCCUAAACGAUGCGCGUUAGGUGUAUCGGUGACCACGAGUCACCGAGGUGCCGAAGGGAAACCGUGAAACGUGCCGCCUGGGAAGUACGGUCGCAAGGCUGAAACUUAAAGGAAUUGGCGGGGGAGCACAACAACGGGUGGAGCUUGCGGUUUAAUUGGACUCAACGCCGGGAAGCUCACCGGAUAAGACAGCGGAAUGAUUGCCGGGCUGAAGACCCUGCAUGACCAGCUGAGAGGAGGUGCAUGGCGUAGU
rnacentral:rRNA from 1 species